GAGGGGCCAAAACACAAAGAACUGCUAAUUC
rnacentral:tRNA from 1 species